UACGUAGGGGGCUGGCGUUAUCCGGAAUUACUGGGCGUAAAGGGUGCGUAGGUGGUUUCUUAAGUCAGAGGUGAAAGGCUACGGCUCAACCGUAGUAAGCCUUUGAAACUGGGAAACUUGAGUGCAGGAGAGGAGAGUGGAAUUCCUAGUGUAGCGGUGAAAUGCGUAGAUAUUAGGAGGAACACCAGUUGCGAAGGCGGCUCUCUGGACUGUAACUGACACUGAGGCACGAAAGCGUGGGGAGCAAACAGG
rnacentral:rRNA from 1 species